ensembl:lncRNA
GACUGUAAUAGAUUAUUGAUUUAAAGCUUCAGACACAAGCACUUUACUUCUAAAAGUAGACUUUUUCUACUUUGUCCCAUUGUGGACCUGUCUCUCUCAGGCUAGCGUCCUUGUUGUCUCUCUCAUGCUACUGCCCUUGUUGUCUCUUUCAUGGCCAGUGUCCUUGCUGUCUCUCUCUCUCUCAUGGCCAGUGUCCUUGCUGUCUGUCCUUGCUGUCUCUCUCUCUCAGGCUAGUGUCCUUGCUGUCUCUCUCUCUCUCAGGCUAGUGUCCUUGCUGUCUGUCUCUCUCAUGGUCAGUGUCCUUGUUGUCUCUUUCAUGGCCAUUCCCUUGCUGUCUCUCUCUCUCUCAGGCUACUGCCCUUGCUGUCUCUCUCUCUCAUGGCUAGUGCCCUUGCUGUCUCUCUCUCUCUCUCAUGGCU